CUAAUGAAUUUUCAAGGAUGCGUCAAUAGGCAGGCGGCAAUGUUUUUAUCCUCCCGACUUGGUGUCGCUUGGGUGGGUUUGUAUAAAAAAUGUUUUCAUCCCCCCGCUUGGAGUUAUUUCAGACUGUGCACAUAACUGACAAUAUUUCAGCCUCUGCACACAACUGACAACUGGCCACGGGGUGCUGGUAAGUAUGCUGGUUGGGUUCAGACUUUGUGGAAGUGUGGCAGUUGUAUACAAGGUAUUUCUGAGUAAAAAUGAGAAGAAUGUACUUUCUUACAGUUAUAUUAUUCUGGGGUUUUGUCAUGCAUGGUCAUGCUGAUGCUGCAAUACAAUUCUUUCAUGAGAUGGUGAAGACAGGCUAUGCUGUUUUAUGGAAGGUGCUCCUCUGGCAAUUUCUGAUGAUUAAAUAGGGACCUUGGUGUUGCUAUCAGUGGUCCCACUUCUCUAUUGAAACAGUGAGCUCAAAACAUUGGUGUCAGAAUUUGACAGAAUUAUCCGGAACAUCAAUCAGUGUGUAGUGGACCUUCCCUGUACAAAAUGCAUGAACCCAGCUGCUUACUUUGACCAAAUAGCUGGCAAUGGGGAACAAGAAAACAUUAACUGUAGCUAGUCAUUCAAAGGCAGCGUGAUCUUGGGUGUUAAACAAGGAAAGGAGGCUUUAGCAAUUAAGAUUUGGUUGUAAUAACAUGCCAUUUUUCUGUAUGUACAAAAAAAAAUGUAAAGGGAAGCACAUCAUUUGUGCACUUUCAGAGAAGAAAGGCUUUGUGUGGGAUGCAUUAGCAACAAUGGGAAUGAAAAGUGAUCCCUCAUUGCUGGUUAAACUUGAUGAAAGGCAAGGACAAGAGCCUCCCUUUCAGUUAGUCAGCUGCCUUGUGCCUUAUUUUGCACCCAUUGUUUUCUCUAAUAUUGCUUUCCUAUGCAGCGUUCUGCUGUUCUUUGUGGUUCAGGUUUGUUUUUGUUCCAAGUAUUCCAGAAAGGAUUCGUGUCCUGUUGUUUUCUAUGCAGUAUUCCAUCUUUUAAUCAGAGUCUGUAGUUUAGAAUGAUUUUGCAGAGUGCACA